GAAACACGGCUGAAAACAUCAUGUCAAACUUUAUAAUAAGAAAGUGAACAUAGUCAGCGUGGGUGGCGGAUCGGGUAUUCAAGGCUUCUCUGAGUGAGACACUCGACUCCUCUGGCCGGGCCACCUCGGGGGUUCGGGGCUGUCAGAACGGAGCUGCUCCUCACGGGACCGUUUGAUGUGUUUCAAACCAGGAUGAAGCAUCCUUAUCCACUGCCUCUGACUUACCAUGAUUCCUGGUAGCCGUCGCAAUGCCCCUUGGGCCUUCUGGGCCAAUCACUUGACCUCUGUAAGUGCAGGCUACUCCUUGCUUGCACAGGCCGCUUCCCAUCCACGGCCCCUCCUAGCACGGCUCUGUGGCUUCUGCCGCUCGUUAACGUACACAGACGGAAAGCCCCUGCCCACUGUGCCUCCCGAGGGCAGCCUGGAGCUCUGUAAUGGGGCAUCCGCCGGGGUGCUCUCCUCUCCCUCUGCCUGCUAACAUCUUUCCCCAGGGCUUUAUGACAAGUUAGAUAUUUAAAGAGGCCACAAAGCCUUCCGGUCACCAGAGGACUGGUUGUAGCUCAGAGCCACCAUCAGCCCGGUGGACCCCAUGAGAGCACAGUGCUGGGGGCAGCAGCAAGGCGCCCACAGGCCUGGGCUUGUGCUUACUGGAAGGGUUGGAAGUCUAGAUCCAGUAUGAAACCAUGCAUUUGUGCCUGCGGCAGAGGAAAGGCUUCCAGUUCGCAGGAGAAAGAAUUAAUUUGCUAAAGAGAUUCUCAGCAAUUGUGCGGAGAGUUUUGAUGCAUCAAUUAUAACGUCGCCUUCACUUUUUUUCCUCCAAGAAAUUUCUACCAGGAUUCACGGAGGAGGAGAGCAUUGUGUGAGCACACUGGCGAGAGAACCUGGCCUCUGCCUCACACACAGCCAGGCCCUGAGCUCAGCACCCGGGAGGACCCCGCUGCCGCCUCUUCCCGGGCGGCUGUCAGCUGCCAGGGUACAGUGUGGGGAAAGCAGUCAAGCCCGCGGUGAUUGUGAGGGGCUCUGCUGGAAUUUGGCAGUGCGAAGCCUUGGAGCGCAGCCCCAUGCUGGCUCCUAUUCAGCGGCCGGUUCCCCUCCAGCUCUGGAAGUUUCACUCAGCCGUGCACUCAAUGGCUCCACAAAGCUGAUUACAAGCUUCAGCGCAUUCCUGAAGGAGCCAAAGCGACGCAGGUGCAAACGAGCCGAGGGAGCCCCUUAUCCCGGUGACAGAAUGGGACAAGCUGGGAAAGGCGCGGACCACACAAAUCCAGGCUCACCAGGCAGCAGAAAGCCUGCCUUGGGAACCGGGGUCUUCGUCGACCU
rnacentral:lncRNA from 1 species